CUUUCCAUUUUGAACACCAAAAAUUUAAAGCAAGACAACCGAACAAAUGGAAGCUUCAAGGAAGAUGAAAUGGAGAAAUGAAAAUAGAAACUCGAAAGGAAAAUUAACCGGUUGCGGCGAGAUUGACCCGAUGGAUGUAGUCCCACUGCUAGGGUUUUGCAUUGGCCGCUAAGAUCAAAGGGAUGUCGGACUUGGAAGUGCUUUUGGUGCCGCCAGUUUGUCUACCCUGUUUUGGUGCUUAUUCUGAAAAAGGCAUCAAGAAGACCAUGAUUCCAAAGUUUGAUCAAGAAUAAUGUCCAACACUAAUGUAGAGCUCGGGAUGAGAUCAACUCUUCUGCAUGAUGCUUCGAAAAUGCCUCACAAGCCCACGAACAAGAAAGCUAAUCAACAUACCUGCUCCUUGUCGAGCGCGAACUAUAGAUGCAUCUUCCAGCAUAGGGAUAGCAUUUUCAACCAAAGCUCCCAUGACUUUCACAAUCAUUGACUGGACCAUGGAAGUUGUUGGUGAAUAUCUUGCUGUUGUUGAGGCUCGAGCUGGCGUUGUUCAACCUGCAGUUCGAAAAGACGUUCCAAAUCUGACCCGGGAGUCUGCAUCAUUUGCUGGAUGCCAGAGUUAAUACUUUGAGAUGGAGAGAAACCAGGAAAUCUAUCUAAAUCUGACCCAUUAAGAUGUGAAGGGAAAUGAUUAGGUGUAUUAGUCUGCUGCUGAAGCUGUUCCGCUUGUGGCUGCUGAAAUUGUUCCGCCUGCUACUGCUGAUGAUGAAGCCGCUCAGCCUGCUGAUGAUGAUGAAGUCGUUCAGCCUGCUGCUGCUGAUGAAGUCGUUCAGCCUGCUACUGCUGCUGCUGCUGAAGAUGUUCCUUCUGCAGCUUCUGCAACAUUAGAUGGUCUGCCACAUCAAAAUUAUUAAACUUUUGUCCCAUUCGAGACAAGAACUAGUCUUCUAAUGAACCUUCUUGCUGAUUAGGAUUAAAAUGCCUAUUUAUCCCAUAUUCAUCAGUCCAUGUAUCCCUGAAAGACAGAUUUACCAUGCCACCCAUAGAUCUCUGAUCAGUAAAAUGAGCAUCUCUAUCAUUUAAUGGAUCAGUAAAAUGGCCAUGGUCCCUUUUAAUACGCUUCAAGACUGAUAACAUGUCACCUCCUUUUCAACAUCAAGAUGUAUUACUAGAGCAAGGGCUUCUCAAAGAACAGCAUGGGAAGCAUUUUUUUUAUUGUUAUAAUUCAUUUCUAGUGCAGAGAAAGAUGCGGUGAUGAUCAGAAAAAAUAACUGUUGUUACGGAGAAAACUCAAGUGUUUUUGCUCUUCAAAUUGCAGGUAGUAGGACCUCACAUUUGCCUUGUGUUUGUAACCUGAAUUAUGCUGCUUUCUCACAGAUGGAGAAUCGUGAGUCAAAUAGGUAUCGCAAUAGUCACAAUAGUACUGAGGCAUCGCUGUUUGAAUUUAAUUGCAGUUUCCAGUUCAAUCAAUUUUCCUUGGAGAACUAUACAUUUGACUUCAGCUUCUACAUUUGAUAGAAACAGUCCUGCCCCGUCUCUUCAAACACUUUCCAACAAUUGCUCUAGCCUUACGACCUCAAGUCGACACUCACUUUCAUGCAAGCAAGAAGAAUUGCUGACAUUUUCUGUCCUACUCUUGUGUUUUAAGCUCUGAUAUUGUUAGACUAUUUUGAUCAAUUAGUGCUUUACACUGAGCAGUAUACACUGCUAACUCAGACUUUAGGUAGUCAAGACUCGUGGAUAAUGUCAUAUUUUCUUCCAUGCAAUUCAGUUCUCUACAAAGACAUGCAUUCAAUUCAGAUUAUACAUCAAGAUUAUUUUCACAAAGCACAUCAACUUUUCUGCAAGCAGAAUGAAGCUUCUCAAUAAGUGGGUUUCCAAACCACUAAGAGAAGAGGAGUCCACUAAAGCAUCUUCAAGACGUUUCUCAGAUAUCUGUAGAAGAUCUGAAAUUCUUGAUUUUUUCAAAUUCUACAUCUGUGACCAGUUGCUUGAGAUGGACCAGCUCCUGCCUGUUCAUAUCAGAAUCCUACUGCUGGGGUCAAUGAACUCGCCGCUUUAAUUAGACGGUCGAUAGGCUGCUCAAUAAUAGUUGAUUUUCCUGAAGGGGGCGCUAAUGCAUUACCAUGAGCACCAUCUGGACUGGUGAACUCUGCCAGUAAAGGAGAGGCUGAUAUUCCAGGAGUUCCGAUGGCAAGUGAUUGAGCAGGUGCUGCUGCAGAUGGAUCAACUUCUUCAUCACUUAUGCUUACUACUGUGUCAAUAAGUCGCUGGUUAACAUCCCUAAUUUCUUCCAAAAGGGCAUGAUUAGCCUCAAUCGUUGGCUUUUUGAUAUUGGAUGUUGCAGUUGACUCCA